rnacentral:lncRNA from 1 species
CAGUGUGUUUUUCCUGAGAGCUGACAGCUGUAUUUUAUAAUACUGAAAAGAGGGGGAGGCGCCAGUUCUUGUGUAGGGGGCGAUUUCUAGCCCUACUUGGGCUAGGAGACAUUGGGCCAGUCCAGGGACCAGAUACAAGGAAUAAAGAUGGGCCUCAAAUAAAUUAAUUUAUCAAUGGUCAGCCCAGACCAUAAUUAAUUUAUAAAUAUCAGUUCAUUCCACUAGAGAACCAAUA